CUGUAGCCUAUGAUGUCAUGUCAACCAUCCUCGUUUCCCCAUGGGGGCCCAGGGUACUGUGUCUGCAGACAGCAGCAUCCAUAUUAGUGUAUGUACCCUACUGCUUGUAUGAUUGUCUGAAGGGACCUUGGAGACAGCC
rnacentral:snoRNA from 1 species